UGUACAAAAAAAAAAAAAAAAAAAAAAAAAAACAUAAAAAACAUAAAUCGACGGAACAUUUUUCAUUGCUGUAGGCCACAUGUGAACGGUUCUUAUAUAUACA
rnacentral:ribozyme from 1 species